CCUGGUAUAUAUUAUCUACUGGGUCUGGGGGGGUCAUACUGGCCUGGUAUCUAUUAGCCUAUACACACAGCUCUGUAAAUAUGUCAAACAUGUAACAGUUGUGCAAUGCUAUUAAAACCACCCACAUCUCCAUUGGUGGGCUAGUUUGUGUAAUUGUUAUUAAAAAAAUGUUUUUCGCAAAACAGUAGGCUAGCUCUUGUAUGAUAGCCUACAGUCGUCUACUGGCGCAUGUGAUUAAUGAUCACAUCAAUGAUUUCAAUUUCUGUAGCCUAUAUCUUGUUAUAAAUAAAUAGGGCCUACAGUUUAUGCAACAUAAUUUGUCCCACAGAGGUAAAACUCAAAGUCUCAGACAGUCGGAUAACUAAAUUAAAAGACUCGUCAGAUUUUGACAACUGAGAUGUCACUUAAAUGCACUUCCUAUAUCGUUCACGGCAAUAAGAGAAAGUCAGCUGGCUACAUAAAAAAAAAAUAUUACAAAAAAAAGAAGUUCGUGGCAGCUCCAAAUUUGCGAACACAUUCCGACAGUGAAAGUUUUGACGAACUUUUCACGUCAGCAAGGUCAAUUAGAUUUGAAUAGUUUACGAUAUUUUUUUUCAAUUGAAAAUUCCAGCGCUGUCUAUUUAUUUUGAGUUUCAUUCAAUACUUCAAAGGCCUUGAGGUAGGCCGAUAAGCUCCUUCAACGUCGUAUUUAUGGUCGAGACUUGUGUGCAGCGUAUCGUGCCCCCACAGACAGCAACAUACCACGCGCAGGAAAGGAAAAAUAUCAAAAACGCGCAUUACCUCGGUUUCUUUUGAGCGAGAAGAUAAGGGAAGACCAAUGAUUGGAUGGACUGUAAUAACUGAAGAUAAUGCCAGAGGUGCCAUUAACUGACUACGAGAGGAAGCUUUCAGUCUUUGGACCCAAAGUUCGGUGAGGAAGACAACCAUUGUCACAACAUGGACCAAAGGACAUGACUUUACAAGUGCACUCCAGGGUCCGUGUACAUUUCGUUAUUUUGAUUUCCGAGUGGAAAAACAGAAAGCCAAUGUAUUUUCUCAUUUAUUGUGUCAAAGUUGGACAUGGAAUAAUGGAAAACAAAUAACAACAAAAUAUCAUUACA